rnacentral:rRNA from 1 species
AUUGAACGCUGGCGGCAGGCCUAACACAUGCAAGUCGAACGAGUGGCGGACGGGUGAGUAAUGUCUGGGAAACUGCCUGAUGGAGGGGGAUAACUACUGGAAACGGUAGCUAAUACCGCAUACCAUCGGAUGUGCCCAGAUGGGAUUAGCUAGUAGGUGGGGUAAAGGCUAACCUGGGCGACGAUCCCUAGCUGGUCUGAGAGGAUGACCGGCCACACUGGAACUGAGCCACGGUCCGGACUCCUACGGGAGGCAGCAGUGGGGAAUAUUGCCAAAGGGGCGCAGGCCUGAUGCAGCCAUGCCGCGUGUAUGAAGAGGGCCUUCGGGUUGUAAAGUACUUUCAGCGGGGAGGCGUUACCCGCAGAAGAAGCACCGGCUAACUCCGUGCCAGCCGCCGCGGUAAUUC